GACGAACGCUGGCGGCGUGCUUAACACAUGCAAGUCGAGCGAUGGAGCACCUUCGGGUGUGAAUUAGCGGCGAACGGGUGAGGAACACGUGAGAAAUCUGCCUUCAACACUGGGAUAGCUCCGGGAAACCGGGGCUAAUACCGGUUAUGAAACCUGCGGGCAUCCGCGGGUUUGGAAAGUUUUUCGGUUGAAGAUGAUCUCGCGGCCUAUCAGCUUGUUGGUGAGGUAAUGGCUCACCAAGGCGACGACGGGUAGCCGGCCUGAGAGGGCGGCCGGCCACACUGGGACUGGGACACGGCCCAGACUCCUACGGGAGGCAGCAGUGGGGAAUAUUGGGCAAUGGAGGAAACUCUGACCCAGCGACGCCGCGUGCGGGAUGAAGGCCUUCGGGUUGUAAACCGCUUUCAACAGGGAAGAAGCGAAAGUGACGGUACCUGCAGAAGAAGCACCGGCUAACUAUGUACCAGCCGCCGCCGUAA
rnacentral:rRNA from 1 species